AUGAACGCUAGCUACAGGCUUAACACAUGCAAGUCGAGGGGCAGCAUUUCAGUUUGCUUGCAAACUGGAGAUGGCGACCGGCGCACGGGUGAGUAACACGUAUCCAACCUGCCGAUAACUCGGGGAUAGCCUUUCGAAAGAAAGAUUAAUACCCGAUGGUAUAAUUAGACCGCAUGGUCUUGUUAUUAAAGAAUUUCGGUUAUCGAUGGGGAUGCGUUCCAUUAGGCAGUUGGUGAGGUAACGGCUCACCAAACCUUCGAUGGAUAGGGGUUCUGAGAGGAAGGUCCCCCACAUUGGAACUGAGACACGGUCCAAACUCCUACGGGAGGCAGCAGUGAGGAAUAUUGGUCAAUGGGCGCAGGCCUGAACCAGCCAAGUAGCGUGAAGGAUGACUGCCCUAUGGGUUGUAAACUUCUUUUAUAUGGGAAUAAAGUUUUCCACGUGUGGAAUUUUGUAUGUACCAUAUGAAUAAGGAUCGGCUAACUCCGUGCCAGCAGCCGCGGUAAUACGGAGGAUCCGAGCGUUAUCCGGAUUUAUUGGGUUUAAAGGGAGCGUAGGUGGACAGUUAAGUCAGUUGUGAAAGUUUGCGGCUCAACCGUAAAAUUGCAGUUGAUACUGGCUGUCUUGAGUACAGUAGAGGUGGGCGGAAUUCGUGGUGUAGCGGUGAAAUGCUUAGAUAUCACGAAGAACUCCGAUUGCGAAGGCAGCUCACUGGACUGCAACUGACACUGAUGCUCGAAAGUGUGGGUAUCAAACAGGAUUAGAUACCCUGGUAGUCCACACAGUAAACGAUGAAUACUCGCUGUUUGCGAUAUACAGUAAGCGGCCAAGCGAAAGCAUUAAGUAUUCCACCUGGGGAGUACGAUCGCAAGGUUGAAACUCAAAGGAAUUGACGGGGGCCCGCACAAGCAGUGGAGUAUGUGGUUUAAUUCGAAGCAACGCGAAGAACCUUACCAGGGCUUGACAUAUAUAGGAAUAAGUAAGAGAUUACUUAGCUCUUCGGAGCCUGUAUACAGGUGGUGCAUGGUUGUCGUCAGCUCGUGUCGUGAGAUGUUGGGUUAAGUCCCGCAACGAGCGCAACCCCUGUUCUUAGUUGCCAGCAUGUAAAGAUGGGAACUCUAAGAAGACUGCCGUAGACAAUACGGAGGAAGGUGGGGAUGACGUCAAAUCAGCACGGCCCUUACGUCCGGGGCUACACACGUGUUACAAUGGGGGGUACAGAAGGCAGCUACCUGGUGACAGGAUGCUAAUCCCAAAAGCCUCUCUCAGUUCGGAUCGAAGUCUGCAACCCGACUUCGUGAAGCUGGAUUCGCUAGUAAUCGCGCAUCAGCCAUGGCGCGGUGAAUACGUUCCCGGGCCUUGUACACACCGCCCGUCACACCAUGAGAGUUGGGGAUACCCGAAGCCUGUGAGCCAACAGUUAAAUGAGGCAGCAGUCGAAGGUAGAAUCAAUGAUUGGGGUG
rnacentral:rRNA from 1 species